rnacentral:snoRNA from 1 species
CCUGUAGGCGAUGAUGAGGUGGUCUCACAUAUCCUGAAUGGCCUAGACUAUGACUACAAUCCUCUUGUGUCGUCAAUCCUUGGCCGCUCAGAUCCCAUCUUAUUGAGCGAUCUCUACUCUCAGCUGAUGGCUUAUG